rnacentral:rRNA from 1 species
UUCCUGUCCAACGUUAAUCGGGGCAGGGUGAGUCGACCCCUAAGGCGAGGCCGAAAGGCGUAGUCGAUGGGAAACGGGUUAAUAUUCCCGUACUUGGUGUUACUGCGAAGGGGGGACGGAGAAGGCUAUGUUGGCCGGGCGACGGUUGUCCCGGUUUAAGCGUGUAGGUGUGUGUUCCAGGUAAAUCCGGUUCACUUUAACACUGAGGCGUGAUGACGAGGCACUACGGUGCUGAAGCAACAAAUGCCCUGCUUCCAGGAAAAGCCUCUAAGCAUCAGGUAACAUCAAAUCGUACCCCAAACCGACACAGGUGGUCAGGUAGAGAAUACCAAGGCGCUUGAGAGAACUCGGGUGAAGGAACUAGGCAAAAUGGUGCCGUAACUUCGGGAGAAGGCACGCUGACACGUAGGUGAAGUGAUUUACUCAUGGAGCUGAAGUCAGUCGAAGAUACCAGCUGGCUGCAACUGUUUAUUAAAAACACAGCACUGUGCAAACACGAAAGUGGACGUAUACGGUGUGACGCCUGCCCGGUGCCGGAAGGUUAAUUGAUGGGGUCAGCGCAAGCGAAGCUCCUGAUCGAAGCCCCGGUAAACGGCGGCCGUAACUAUAACGGUCCUAAGGUAGCGAAAUUCCUUGUCGGGUAAGUUCCGACCUGCACGAAUGGCGUAAUGAUGGCCAGGCUGUCUCCACCCGAGACUCAGUGAAAUUGAACUCGCUGUGAAGAUGCAGUGUACCCGCGGCAAGACGGAAAGACCCCGUGAACCUUUACUAUAGCUUGACACUGAACAUUGAGCCUUGAUGUGUAGGAUAGGUGGGAGGCUUUGAAGUGUGGACGCCAGUCUGCAUGGAGCCGACCUUGAAAUACCACCCUUUAAUGUUUGAUGUUCUAACGUGGACCCGUAAUCCGGGUUGCGGACAGUGUCUGGUGGGUAGUUUGACUGGGGCGGUCUCCUCCUAAAGAGUAACGGAGGAGCACGAAGGUUGGCUAAUCCUGGUCGGACAUCAGGAGGUUAGUGCAAUGGCAUAAGCCAGCUUGACUGCGAGCGUGACGGCGCGAGCAGGUGCGAAAGCAGGUCAUAGUGAUCCGGUGGUUCUGAAUGGAAGGGCCAUCGCUCAACGGAUAAAAGGUACUCCGGGGAUAACAGGCUGAUACCGCCCAAGAGUUCAUAUCGACGGCGGUGUUUGGCACCUCGAUGUCGGCUCAUCACAUCCUGGGGCUGAAGUAGGUCCCAAGGGUAUGGCUGUUCGCCAUUUAAAGUGGUACGCGAGCUGGGUUUAGAACGUCGUGAGACAGUUCGGUCCCUAUCUGCCGUGGGCGCUGGAGAACUGAGGGGGGCUGCUCCUAGUACGAGAGGACCGGAGUGGACGCAUCACUGGUGUUCGGGUUGUCAUGCCAAUGGCACUGCCCGGUAGCUAAAUGCGGAAGAGAUAAGUGCUGAAAGCAUCUAAGCACGAAACUUGCCCCGA